ACUCAAAUGAAUAGACGGGGACCCGCACAAGCAGUGGAGUAUGUGGUUUAAUUCGAAGCAACGCGAAGAACCUUACCAGGGCUUGACAUCUCCUGCAUACCAUAGAGAUAUGGGAAGCCCUUCGGGGCAGGAAGACAGGUGGUGCAUGGUUGUCGUCAGCUCGUGUCGUGAGAUGUUGGGUUAAGUCCCGCAACGAGCGCAACCCCUAUUGUUAGUUGCCAUCAUUAAGUUGGGCACUCUAGCGAGACUGCCGGUGACAAAUCGGAGGAAGGUGGGGACGACGUCAAAUCAUCAUGCCCCUUAUGUCCUGGGCUACACACGUACUACAAUGGCCGUAUAACAACAGGAAGCGAAACAGUGAUGUGGAGCAAAUCCCCAAAAACGGUCUCAGUUCAGAUUGCAGGCUGCAACUCGCCUGUAUGAAGUAGGAAUUGCUAGUAAUCGCGAAUCAGCAUGUCGCGGUGAAUACGUUCCCGGGUCUUGUACACACCGCCCGU
rnacentral:rRNA from 1 species